GACGAACGCUGGCGGCGUGCCUAAUACAUGCAAGUGGGACGCAAGGAUACACACUGUGCUUGCACACCGUGUUUUCUUGAGUCGCGAACGGGUGAGUAACGCGUAGGUAACCUGCCUAUUAGCGGGGGAUAACUAUUGGAAACGAUAGCUAAUACCGCAUAAUAUUAAUUAUUGCAUGAUAAUUGAUUGAAAGAUGCAAGCGCAUCACUAGUAGAUGGACCUGCGUUGUAUUAGCUAGUUGGUAAGGUAAGAGCUUACCAAGGCGGCGAUACAUAGCCGACCUGAGAGCGUGAUCGGCCACACUGGGACUGAGACACGGCCCAGACUCCUACGGGAGGCAGCAGUAGGGAAUCUUCGGCAAUGGACGAAAGUCUGACCGAGCAACGCCGCGUGAGUGAAGAAGGUUUUCGGAUCGUAAAGCUCUGUUGUAAGUCAAGAACGUGUGUGAGAGUGGAAAGUUCACACAGUGACGGUAGCUUACCAGAAAGGGACGGCUAACUACGU
rnacentral:rRNA from 1 species